UGGGGAAUAUUGGACAAUGGGGGCAACCCUGAUCCAGCAAUGCCGCGUGUGUGAAGAAGGCCUUCGGGUUGUAAAGCACUUUAGUUGGGGAAGAAGGUAUGUUGUUUAAGAGAUGAUAUAUUUGACGGUACCCAAAGAAUAAGCACCGGCUAACUCUGUGCCAGCAGCCGCGGUAAUACAGAGGGUGCGAGCGUUAAUCGGAAUUACUGGGCGUAAAGGGCGCGUAGGCGGAUUGUUAAGUGAGUAGUGAAAUCCCUGGGCUUAACCUGGGCAUGGCGACUUAUACUGGCGAUCUGGAGUAUGGUAGAGGGUAGUGGAAUUUCCGGUGUAGCGGUGAAAUGCGUAGAUAUCGGAAGGAACACCAGUGGCGAAGGCGGCUACCUGGACCAAUACUGACGCUGAGGCGCGAGAGCGUGGGGAGCAAACAGGAUUAGAUACCCCCGUAGUCC
rnacentral:rRNA from 1 species